rnacentral:lncRNA from 1 species
AAAAAACGAGGAUCCAUUUGUUUUUCUUACACUGUGCAGUAUUCCCUCGACUCUUAUACAGCAUUUUCAUGUUCAUGCCUUUUAUAGAUGAAUAUGCGAUAUAAGUUUUAUUCAUUAUUGAAGACCUAUAGUUGUCUUCUUGGCAGUUAUACCACAUUUUCUUGUUUUUAUAUCCAGAAGAGUAUAAAGUUUUCCCCCACAUAGAUAACGGCCGUAUGUGUCGUUUGUGCCAAUUUAGAGGGAAAAAAUAAAACAUUAUUUUGUAAUUGGCGCUUCAAAAUAUAUUGAAGCAUAUAAAAACAACAUCCAUUUGAAGUAGACAACGGAACAUCACCGUCAAAAAAAAAAGAUAAAAUCGUUUUGUUUAUUACCGAUCGUGUUAUGGAUGUCACCAAGUGUAAUUCUAAUAGAUUAUUUUGGUGAAAAUGAAAUGACUGUAGACGACUACAGAAGAGACAAAAUACAUAUAUUGUACGUCUGUUAAAAUUGAAGGAAGAAAUACACAAUGAACGACAGUUUCUCUUGAUACAUAUACAUCAGCAUUGUAGUAAAUAGUACAAUCAAGAUUAUUCUAUUGAAAUGGGCCUUUGUUGUUAGUCACGUUUGAUAAAUGAUAUGAAGACAUAUUUGUCUAUACUCUUGAACUUUGUUACUUUAAAUGACACAUGAAUUUUAAAGACUAGUAAAUACUGGUAAAAAUGUGACAUCUACCCUAGCUGAUACACUUCAAAACCAAAAAAAAUAUCUUGAGGGUUGAGUUGAGAAUGGAAAUGGGGAACGUGUCAAAGAGACAACAUCCCGAUCAAAGAGAAGACAACUCGUCUAGAGUGUUAAGUUUAGAAUGGAAAAAGGGAACCAAAGAGGUAACAACCCGAUCAAACAGCCGAAAACUCAUCAAAUGCAAGUUGAGUAUGGAAAAAGGGAACGUGACAAAGAGACAACCCGAUCAAAGACCAGAUAACGGUCCAAGGACACCAACGGGUCUUCAACACAGCGAAAACAUCCCGAAACCAGAGGCAACCUCCAGCUGGCUCCUAAACAAAUAUGUACACUAGUUCAGUGUGACUGUUUAACUUACAG